UACCAGCACCCCGAGUGGUCGGGACGAUUAUUGGGCGUAAAGCGCACGUAGGCGGCUUAGCAAGUCGGAAGUGAAAUCCCUCGGCUCAACCAAGGAAGUGCUUUCGAAACUGCUGAGCUUGAGUACUUAAGAGGAUCGCGGAAUUCCCGGUGUAGAGGUGAAAUUCGUAGAUAUCGGGAGGAACACCAGUGGCGAAGGCGGCGAUCUGGGAAGAUACUGACGCUGAGGUGCGAAAGCGUGGGGAGCAAACAGG
rnacentral:rRNA from 1 species